rnacentral:rRNA from 1 species
CCUACGGGAGGCAGCAGUGAGGAAUAUUGGUCAAUGGACGAGAGUCUGAACCAGCCAAGUAGCGUGAAGGAUGACUGCCCUACGGGUUGUAAACUUCUUUUAUAUGGGAAUAAAAUGUUCCACGUGUGGGAUUUUGUGUGUACCAUAUGAAUAAGGAUCGGCUAACUCCGUGCCAGCAGCCGCGGUAAUACGGAGGAUCCGAGCGUUAUCCGGAUUUAUUGGGUUUAAAGGGAGCGUAGGUGGAUUGUUAAGUCAGUUGUGAAAGUUUGCGGCUCAACCGUGAAAUUGCAGUUGAAACUGGCAGUCUUGAGUACAAAAGAGGUGGGCGGAAUUCGUGGUGUAGCGGUGAAAUGCUUAGAUAUCACGAAGAACUCCGAUUGCGAAGGCAGCUCGCUGGACUGCAACUGACGCUGAGGCUCGAAAGUGUGGGUAUCAAACAGGAUUAGAUACCCCAGUAGUC